rnacentral:rRNA from 1 species
GACGAACGCUGGCGGCGUGCUUAACACAUGCAAGUCGAACGGAAAGGCCCUGCUUUUGUGGGGUGCUCGAGUGGCGAACGGGUGAGUAACACGUGAGUAACCUGCCCUUGACUUUGGGAUAACUUCAGGAAACUGGGGCUAAUACCGGAUAGGAUCUCCUGCUGCAUGGUGGGGGUUGGAAAGUUUCGGCGGUUGGGGAUGUACUCGCGGCUUAUCCGCUUGUUGGUGUGGUAGUGGCUUACCAAGGCUUUGACGGGUAGCCGGCCUGAGAGGGUGACCGGCCACAAUGGGACUGAGAUACGGACCAGACUCCUACGGGAGGCAGCAGGGGGGAAUAUUGCACAAUGGGGGGAGGUCAGAGGCAGCAACGCCGCGAGCGGGAUGAUGGGCUUCGGGGUGUAAACAGAUUUCGCAGGUGACGAAGCGUGAGUGACGGUAAUGGGUAAAGAAGCACCGGCUAACUACGUG